CACACUGCUGGGACGCGUUGCGAGGCACCGACCCAUAGGUAUACUGAUCUUGAGUGACAGGGAUUAGUCCCGCCUCCACUGUGCCUCUCUCGUGCGCUCCCGAGAAGUGUAGCGUGUGCGGAACGCGACAGCCGAGCAGCAGAUAUCGGCCACUGAGCUUUGAUGAGCGGUGUUUAGGAAACUUGAUGAGCGCUUUUGGAGCUCCUUUCAGCGGCUGGUGAAGACGAGGGAGAGCUGCAGCGGUUCUCUUCCCCCACGGGUCGAAUCAAAAAAUGAAAUUCUGGAUUUGCGUGCUAGCGGUGGCCGUGGCAGUGCAGUCGACGCACGGAGUAAGUCCUGUUUCAUUGCUAUCGGCCAUUUGUUUAGUAGACCCUCCACUCAGUCCCUGCGUUUGUUUAUUUACCAGAUAGACCUCUGCUUCAAACGCAGAC